UGCGGAAGGAUCAUUAAAGAGUAAGGGUGCUCAGCGCCCGACCUCCAACCCCUUUGUUGUUAAAACUACCUUGUUGCUUUGGCGGGACCGCUCGGUUCCGAGCCGCUGGGGAUUCGUCCCAGGCGAGCGCCCGCCAGAGUUAAACCAAACUCUUGUUAUUUAACCGGUCGUCUGAGUAAAAAUUUUGAAUAAAUCAAAACUUUCAACAACGGAUCUCUUGGUUCUCGCAUCGAUGAAGAACGCAGCGAAAUGCGAUAAGUAAUGUGAAUUGCAGAAUUCAGUGAAUCAUCGAAUCUUUGAACGCACAUUGCGCCCCUUGGUAUUCCGAGGGGCAUGCCUGUUCGAGCGUCAUUACACCACUCAAGCUAUGCUUGGUAUUGGGCGUCGUCCUUAGUUGGGCGCGCCUUAAAGACCUCGGCGAGGCCACUCCGGCUUUAGGCGUAGUAGAAUUUAUUCGAACGUCUGUCAAAGGAGAGGAACUCUGCCGACUGAAACCUUUAUUUUUCUAGGUUGACCUCGGAUCAGGUAGGGAUACCCGCUGAACUUAAGCAUA
rnacentral:rRNA from 1 species